AAUGAUGAACCUUCUCAUGUAGUAGGGUCAUGUACCAUGGUACCUUCCACCCUGUGUUCUCAGCCAUGGUGGUACUGGUGAAGUUAGACUUGUUCUGAUGUCCCUCUCUAGCUGCUCCGGGGUCAUCGCCAUGUAAAGUCCAAAGACGAAAAAUAACCCUGAAGGAAGGAGAGAUGACUAGAAAGAAUCCGGUUGACCGCUUUAUGUGUGGAUUAAUUGUUGGAGUAGAGGACCUUGUGCAUUUCAGGUAAAAUAACAACUCAAUGUUUAUAUCCCAGGACAAAUAAGCUAGCUAAAUUGCCAUAAAUGUUUAAUGCUUUUCGACCUGUCCCCAAAUUAAUAUAAUUGGUUGAGAGUUUGUUUUGAUAUUUCGUGUCAUGAUCGCGUUUGGAGUGAGGGGACAAAAUCAAUUUGCGCACGAUGGCGGAUGCACUCGCGCGUCUGGUUUGGGCAUGGUGUAAUGGUUGUUUAAAUCUAAAAUUAGCUUGACGCGUUUUCGGUUAUCCUACAGACUCAGCGCAUUGCUACAUGGUACUUGAAGGAGAAUUGGAGGUUAAUAAUUUAUUACACUGUUUAGAUUGAGCACAUUUAAACGAAAGCUAAACUUCGUCAUGACGAUAUAAACGGAUGGAUGUGUUCCAGAUGAGGAAGGCCAUCUAUUGGCUGAUUUGGCGGCCUGGAGUGUAGGUCAUUGUUUUAUGAAAUGUGAUCCCAUAUCUCCAGUGACAAUAAUUAUGUAGCUAUGAAGUGUUCUCACACGAUUUCCUGAUUUUCACAACUUGGAAGUUACAUCAUGGGGAAAUGUUGUAUUUUACCCACUGAUAGAACAUAAACAUUCACCAAAUAAACAGGAGUUAUGUUUUUUAUUUCUGGGGGUGGAUUAUCCCUUUAAACUGUAUAGUGGUUAAUCAGUAGCCUUGCCUCAACCUAGUCAAAAUGCGAACCAAGGCAGGGUAAAAGAUGCAUUAUUUGUGUAUGUAGAAAUAAGUAACAAACAAGGACAUAUUUUAAUCUUGAUGAAUGACUAUUUGUAAUUUUACGACAAGCUAAGAUGUUCUUUCCCUUUAGUUUACAAUGUCUGUUCUGCCUCUAGUGACUCAGCUGCCUUCUGAUGUUUAUUAAGUCUGCUAAACUCACUCCAAUUUUCACUGUUAUUGAAAUAUGAAAAACUAUGGCCUUGUCAUUAUUAAUUCAUGUUUGCUUGUUGGUAACUUAGACAGGCAAGGGCCUCCAAGUGGCGCAGCGUCUAAAAAUGCUGACCAGACCGCACGCGCGCAUCUGAGUGCACCAUCGCCCGCAUGUUGAUUUUGUCCCCCCCCACACCAGAG
rnacentral:lncRNA from 1 species